GUGAGUAUAGCUCAGUGGUAGAGUGCAUGCUUAGCAUGCACGAGGUCCUGGGUUCAAUCCCCAUUACUUCCA
rnacentral:tRNA from 1 species